UCGCAGGGCACCUCAGUACACCUGGAGGGAAAAGAAAACUCCUCCAGCUAAGGUUUACAGUUUGGAUCCAAGUGUACACAGGAAUUCACUGGCUUUUUCCUACUUGGAUUAGCUAUCCCCUCUGCAGUUUUCAUGAUAUAUCCUCCAAUGGAUCCAGCUCCUACCUGCAGGGGAGAAAUCACAUUCAGAGUGGGGAGAAAUGCACGGGAGAAGAUAAAGACUGACUCCAGAAAAGGAACAGCAUUUACACUGGACAGGAGAGGUCUUGGGUGACAUGUAUCUGCCUCCAGGACCUGUGAACUGUGUAAUCCUGCUAAACCUCAUGGUCCGCUUUGGGUUGGAAUCCAAAAAACCACAUUUCAGAAUUAAAAGGAAAGAAGAAACCCAGGAAAGAAGUUCUUGCCCAGGCUAUAACCAGCCUCAUCAGGGAUCUGAAGUGCAGACUCCAGCCACAGCACAGUGUGAAGCCCUGAAAUAGAGGAUGAUUUCAUCACCAUGACAUUUAUCAGCUGAGCUAAGUGGCCAUGAAUAUGAAUGCAACAAAGAGAUUGCAAAGAAGUUUCUGCUGCAUUCUGCUUUGUGAAAAAAAAUAAUAAGGCAUAUGAAAAAGUAAUAAAAGCACUAACAAUAAAACUCUUAGCACAGUUAAA